CUUCCUCUUCACCUAUUGCUCCAUUCUGAGCAGAGAAAAUGGUCCUCACUAGACGUUACAAUCACUCGCUGCUGAGAGAUCCAACACGAUCAGCAGCAAAUAAUUUUUGCAAGGAAGUAACGAGGAGCUUGUAUGGCGUCACGUGAAGAUGUCGUUCACGCCUUUGCGACACGAUUUGCUAUCCCAACUUCGCCUUCUCGUCGCCGACCCGAUGAUGCUUGCAAUCAUUGGAACCCAUAGGAUCAAUGCGAAGAGGUGGAUGUCGUCACAAAAGGUGGAAACUAUGGGUGGCAUGUGUAUGAAUGUCCCCCUCUUCAAUCCCCAGCAGUUUCAGGGAGGAAAAACUUCUGAACCCACAAAUCCGAUCUUUCCUAUUCUGGAUACAAGCACUCUAAUGUAAAUAACAAAGAAGGAUUUGUAGCAAUAUCGAGUGGGUAUUUCUAUUGCUCUAUGACCGAUCCAUGUGUGUACGGAAGGUUAGCAAGACCAAUUAUUUUCUUUUCUUUGAUUUAACUUGUAGAAAGAAACAAGGGUGAACUUGCUGAUAUAUAUUUAGUACGAAUGGAUGUUCAGGUACCUGUAUGCAGAUUUGUAUCC